AUUGAACGCUGGCGGCAGGCUUAACACAUGCAAGUCGAGCGGGGGAAGGUAGCUUGCUACCGGACCUAGCGGCGGACGGGUGAGUAAUGCUUAGGAAUCUGCCUAUUAGUGGGGGACAACAUCUCGAAAGGGAUGCUAAUACCGCAUACGUCCUACGGGAGAAAGCAGGGGAUCUUCGGACCUUGCGCUAAUAGAUGAGCCUAAGUCGGAUUAGCUAGUUGGUGGGGUAAAGGCCUACCAAGGCGACGAUCUGUAGCGGGUCUGAGAGGAUGAUCCGCCACACUGGGACUGAGACACGGCCCAGACUCCUACGGGAGGCAGCAGUGGGGAAUAUUGGACAAUGGGGGGAACCCUGAUCCAGCCAUGCCGCGUGUGUGAAGAAGGCCUUAUGGUUGUAAAGCACUUUAAGCGAGGAGGAGGCUACUUUAGUUAAUACCUAGAGAUAGUGGACGUUACUCGCAGAAUAAGCACCGGCUAACUCUGUGCCAGCAGCCGCGGUAAUACAGAGGGUGCGAGCGUUAAUCGGAUUUACUGGGCGUAAAGCGUGCGUAGGCGGCUUAUUAAGUCGGAUGUGAAAUCCCCGAGCUUAACUUGGGAAUUGCAUUCGAUACUGGUGAGCUAGAGUAUGGGAGAGGAUGGUA
rnacentral:rRNA from 2 species